AGCCAGAGGUGCAGGCACAGUGGUCCUUUAUACCAGGACCUCAGAGAAGACCCCUGAUAUCCGUGUAUGAUAAGCAGGACAGAUACCAGACACGAGCCACCCAGAUGAGGCCUCCAGCCCUGCUCCCCAACCCUGACCUGAGAAUGGAAGGCGGGGCAGCUCCUGCUGGAGAAAGGAAGGACACGGGUUCUGGUCCUGGGAACGCAAGGUCAUAGGAAAUACUUGAUGGAGUGUUAGCAAAACGUCUGGACUUCAAGGGAUAUGAGAGAAGAAGAUCCCAGGAGGUACAAGCAGAGAGAUUACAGACACCAAGUUUCAAAUAUUCUCUGCCCUCGUUUUAUGACUCAACAUACAAUAGGAUAGUGGGUGUUACUGGAAACCAUAAAGAAUAUUCUAUUCUUACAUAAAGAUUGUACUUCCUAAUUCUAAGUAAACAAGGCCCGUUGAGUUUCUAGAAAAGAAGGAUAAUCCUCAUUUGGAAGAACCCGAGGCCUCCUUGGAAGAAGUAAACCUGGUGAGUUAGGAAGGCCUUGAAUUGUUGUCUAUAUUAACUACUAACAGUUGCCAUGAAUAAUCCAUAAACGUGAGAACAGGUCUCUGUGGGGGACUCCUGUUGUAGCUCUCCAGCAGACUUGGUCCCUGCGACCCCUGCAUCAGUCAGACCCACACUGAGCCCGUGAUGAAGAGCUUCAAGUAGGCUGAAGCAUCUGAAAAUGUAUGAAAGACAAAGCUGCAAAUAAAGAUACUAUCUAACCUCUUA